GACGAACGCUGGCGGCGCGCUUAACACAUGCAAGUCGAGCGAUGAAACUCUAACAGUACCCUUCGGGGCGGAGACAAAGGGGAUUAGCGGCGGACGGGAAAGUAACCCGUGAGUAACCUGCCUUAGACAUAGGGAUAGCCACGGGAAACUGGGAGUAAUACCAACUAAAAGCGUAAUGAAACAUGUCAUAACGAGCAAAACUGCGGUGGUCUAAGAUGGACUCGCGUCACAUUAGCUAGUUGGUAGAGUAAAAGCCUACCCAGGCGGCGAAGGGUAGCCGGCCGGGGAGCGGGCACGGCUACAAUGGAAAUGAGACACAGUCCAAACUCCUACGGGAGGGAGGAGUGGAGAAUAUUGCACGAGGGAGGGAGAUCUGACGACGCGGCGCCGCGUAAACGAGGCAGGCUUUCGAGUCGUAAAGUUCUUUUAUAUGAGGAGAUAGUGACGGUACCAUAAGAAGAAGCCCCGGCUAACUACGUG
rnacentral:rRNA from 1 species